UCGGGACUUUUGAAAAAAGCUUUAUCCGAUUUUCGAAGCUCUUUUUCUCUAGUAAAGUCAGAGCAAAACCAUACUAUCAUCUUCAACGGCACUGCCUGAUCGGGAAAUUUGACGAAGCGGAUCUGGACGAAGCCCAACAUCCCAUCGACGACACUCUCUCUGACGAUCUCUCGAGUACCCUUAUUCAUCAUUAUUGCAAGUAAAGUAUAUCCGAGAGUCAACAUAUUAAAUCAUCGGAUGAUAGCCCAAGAAAGAAAAAAAUGCGUUUGAAAAUCAAGAGAGUACAGGCACAAAAUAAAACGCUACGUGUAACAGUACGACAACUUUGUUUGAAAAAAAAGAAAAUUAAGAAGUAAUAUCAACCAAGAAGCUCAAGAAGAAGUGAAAAUCUCUCUGUGACUCCUUCAAAACACAUUGUAAAAAAAAGAAGUUAUCGAGUGGAUCUGUGGCUUCAUCAUGUAGUUCGUGAAUCCAUUAUGACAGCAUGCAAUUUCUUUUAGAUGUUCAACUAUAAGGCUUAAUGACAACGAACGCAUAGAACACUGAAACUCUAGCAAUGAAUGAUACUGAGGAGGCAGUGAAUAAAAAUUAUGAAAUGGAUACUAACAUUUCAUCCGACAGAUGUACCAGUAACUUAUCAGGAAACAGUGCUACCAGUAAGCGGAGGAGACUUGAUGGUGACGAUGAUCUACAAGACUUAGUGGAAACUUUAGUGAA
rnacentral:lncRNA from 1 species